rnacentral:lncRNA from 1 species
AGGCUGCUUGUGUUCACCUCGGUUCAGUCCAAGGAAGCGAGUGAAGGGAUUGCUUACCAGUGGAAUUACAUGGUUGAGAACCAAUGUCAGUCUCUUCUACUCUAAUUAAGCACUAGAUACUACUCUUCUGGUACAAUCGGUCGGUUGGGUUAUUUCAUGUCGGAAAGUGGGAUUGAUUGGGAAAGCCUUACUGCUUUGAACUAGCUUUUUUUAGAAGAAAAAAUUCAAUAGCACCCAACAAGUGGUAUAAGCGUCUAGAUUGAUAACACUUCCAGAGGGAUACGAUAAAGUUGGUAGAUUUGGGACUGGUGAUUGGGUCAUAUUCGGUAUCCACUUUCAUACGUGGGAUAAUCGAACAACCUUUUCCUCAGACAUUGGUCUCUCAGUGGGCAUUACUCAUUUAUUGGCUUUGCUGGAUAUUUGAAGGUGUAGUCAAUCUCGGCUUUGACACAAUUGUUGGGUGCUAUUGAUCCAAAAGCUAGCUCAAAGAGUAAGGUUUUCUCGCACACUUAUAAACAGAGCAUCUAACCUUUUUCACUUUUCGAUGUGAGAUAAUCCAACAGGGUCCAAUCAACCAAACAGAAGGAAUCAGACAGUUUACGUAAAAAAAUUUGAUUGAUUUGAAAUGCAGAUGGGGAUGGAGGGAUGAAGGCAGGGAAUUGUCCGAACAGAGGUGAAUCGUCGCCCUUGAACGACAC